UUCACAACACAUCUGCAUCCUUGCCAUAGAGGACAUGAAAAACAAGGGCUUGAGAAGAAAUAUUUAGACAUUGGAGCCAGACUGGAACUGGCAUCCCUUGCCUUGACUGCUGCUGAGACAUCUGCAGAGAGCAUCUGCCUAGAGCACAUGUGCACAGGUCUGGCUGCUGCUGUUCUCAUUCUCUGGUAACCCGACGUUGACUCACAAGUGUUGGACACAAACCGUCUAUAUCUCUGUAACAAGCCCACAGCACCAGGUUUGAUGCAUUCCAAGUGCUGGGAUUAUAGGUGCAAAAACCAUCAUACCUGUUUUAUGUAAUACCAUGGAGGGAGUCCAGGACCUUGCACUGGGUUGCUCCAACUUCCCAUGUCCAACUGCAAGCAAACGAGAAAAACACCCAUGAAUGACUGGCAGGGGAAGAAACAGCAAUGUGGACGGACUUCGUUCUCAGCUGCACAGGGACCUGACAGUGGCAACUCACAUGUCAAGAGGCAUAAGAAAAUGACUACUUUCAGGAGUGGAUUCUCAUCUGCCAGAGAUGAAGACGGCAAUCAAUACAGAAAACUGUUGCUGUGAGCUGGCUGUAUGACUGGGACAACCUGGCCGCGUGGUUUCUAGAUGUUUGGAACUGUUUUCUGGAAGAGCUGUGGAAGAGUUUGGAUCAGUGGGUGAGAAAGGCCUUUGGAUGCUGUACACACAGCCUAAUGGGCUAUUCUGAUGGGAUUUUGGGAAACUAGAAUGCUGAUAAAAUGUGGAAGGUGAAGAGUGUUUGUACCCAUGAAGCUGCAGUGAGGAACAAGGACUCUAACGGGACUCUCUUGUUUUAUUUUGCCAAAUAACCAGACUGUGUUUAGCUUGUGACCUGAAAGUAUGAGUGGUAUUGAAGUAAAAAUUGAAAAUCAAUGGGCUAAGCUAUUUGGCA